AUAUAUAUAUAUUAAAAAGAAAAGUGAGCAGAGGUCCUAUUAAAUGUCUGUAGGUUAUCCUGCCAUGUCUGGGACCUGAGAGCUUGGAGGAAAGAGGUCCGUGUGGUAAAAGAGAUGCCAUCUUUUAGAAGAAAAAGAGCCACGCUGGUUUACAGAGACCUGACCAGAAGCGUGAUAGUGCGUACACCCGUGCCAUCAACUUGGAUCGAGAGUACUGGGAGAACAGAGCCGGUUCCCUCUGCAACAGAAGUUGUGGUCAGCUGCAGUGAUGCACCUCCUCCACCAGCAUAAAAACGAAGGCAGCUGAUGUUGAGGACUGGAAGGGGUUGAGGGAGCUACUCCACAUGCCUGCAGUGGAGCUGGAAUGUCCUCCACCCAACACCAUCUGCAGUGUGUGUAGAGUUUUGGAGGAGGCUGAGCUAUGGUGCUGCGGGGAUUGUGGCUCAGAAAAAUAUUUCUGUGCCACCUGUGCUGUGAGAACCCACAGAACUCCCAACAUUGUCCACUAUUUGGAGUUAUGGAAGGCAAUGUAUUUUAUGUUAUGUAAACUUCUGGCUUAAAAAAAUGGCUUCCCAGUCAGAAAUGUGUCACACCCUGAUCUAUUUCACCCGUCCUUGUGAUUGUCUCCACCC